GGAACAUAUAGCACCUACAUGUUCAUACAAAUAAAGUUAAACUGGAUUCCACAACUGCAGGUUUAAUGCCUAAAAAUUUCAUUUCCAAUAUCAAUGUAAACAAACCAAGAGCUUCAAAAUGAUUUUGAACCAUUUAAAACAAGAUCAUCUUGGGGGUAAGCUAUCUUAUAUUCUUAGCAAAAAUCAGUAUUUGACAAGUCCGCUUUGUCAGGAAUUUUGCAGCUUUUAUUGAAUUUUGUAAAAAUUUUUUUCAUUUGGUUGAAGAAAACAUCUGUUCAGCAAGGAAAAACUCAAUUUCAAGUUUAUACUUAUCAGUUAUGUCCAUAUUCACAUCUGAACUGAUAUCUAAACAGUCAUGGAUCAAAAUGCAAUAAUGUCAAGAGGAUCUGUUAUUUGCCUAUAUGCAAGGACUCCACCUAAUACCAGGGCAUAACCAGCUUACUGACUUUUUCCACCAUUCAAUGUUUAUACAUGGGAAUAUUUCAAUGCAGACACCAAGAGUUUCAUAUGAGAGUUAGGUUAAUAAUUUUGGCAAAUUACUGUUCAAAUUAUAUCAACAGGACAUUUUAGUAAUCAUGAUGGUUUAGUAAUUUUAUAAUUUUGUUAAGAUGAACCGACUUUUAUCAGUCUUAAAUUUAUGUUUUGAAGAUUCUUUAGAUCCCAAUUAGUUCAGUAAUCAAAUAAAAGAGGGAUCUUUGUUUCAGAGUUGGAAUCUUGUAAGGAUUAAAAGUGCAAACACUUGCAAGGUGUUUUGUAAAACUGAAAAUUUAAGAGUUAAAUUGUAAGUGUUAAAUAAUAUAAAUGCUGAAAUUUUAAAUUGUAACGUUGUUUGGUAUGGGCUUUACGAGAAUUUUAAUUUAAUUGAAAUUUUUAAGUGAUACAUAGAAAAGGAUUAUCAAACAAGUUUAAAGUAAAAAGCGUGAUGAAAUUUUUAAUUUUAAGUGCUUAAUUAUGUUAUCAA
rnacentral:misc_RNA from 1 species